rnacentral:rRNA from 1 species
UACGUAGGGUGCAAGCGUUGUCCGGAUUUACUGGGCGUAAAGAGCGCGCAGGCGGUCGUUCAAGUCGCGUGUGAAAGCCCCCGGCUCAACUGGGGAGGGUCACGCGAUACUGAUCGACUCGAAGGCAGGAGAGGGAAGUGGAAUUCCCGGUGUAGUGGUGAAAUGCGUAGAUAUCGGGAGGAACACCAGUGGCGAAGGCGACUUCCUGGCCUGUUCUUGACGCUGAGGCGCGAAAGCUAGGGGAGCAAACGGGG